UCAUCUACCUCUCAACUUACACAUGCAAGUAUCAGCACACCCGUGAGAACGCCCUUCCACCUUCCUAGAACAAGGAGCCGGUAUCAGGCACAGAUUUCUAGCCCACGACACCUAGCUUUGCCACACCCUCAAGGGUAUUCAGCAGUGAUUAACAUUGUUUAUAAGCGCCAGCUUGACUCAGUUAGAGAGCCUAGAGCCGGCUAAUACGGUGCCAGCCGCCGCGGCUACACCGCUAGGCUCAAGUUGAUAUUACUCGGCGUUAAGCGUGUUUAAAGUGCAUACUAAAUUAGAAUUAAACUAUAACCAAGCUGUGACACGCUUGUUCCUAAGAAAGCCAUAUACGAAAGUUAUUCUAACCUAACCACUUGAACCCACGACAGCUAGGACACAAACUGGGAUUAGGUACCCCACUAUGCCUAGCCGUAAAAUAUUUACUUACACCUUUAACCGCCUGGGAAUUACGAGCCCAAGCUUAAAACCCAAAGGACUUGACGGUGCCCCACCCACCUAGAGGAGCCUGUUCUUUAGUGAGCUAAAAAGAUUUUUACAUAAAUACGUCAGGUCAAGGUGCAGCCCACGAAGUGGUAAGUAAUGGGCUACAAUUUCUACUAUUAGAACACAACGAAAGACUAUAUGCAACUUAGUCAUGAAGGCGGAUUUAGAAGUAAAAAGAAAAUAGAGAGUUCUUUUUAAUUAGGCGCUGGGACGUGUACACACCGCCCGUCACCCUCUUCAAACGCUACAACUUAGUAUUUAACAACUUUAUGCACUACAGAAGAGGUAAGUCGUAACACGGUAAGCGUACUGGAAAGUGCGCUUGGAUAAACAAAAUGUAGCUUAAUCAAAGCAUCUCGCUUACACCGAGAACAUAUCCGUGAAAAUCAGAUCAUUUUGAGCCAAAAACUUAGCUUUCACCCCAUUUAUGUUAA
rnacentral:rRNA from 1 species